rnacentral:lncRNA from 1 species
UCAAACAGAAAUGAUAACAAUAGUAACUACCUUGAGGGGUUGUAAUGAUUGAGUUAAUACAUGUAAAACACUUAGAACACUGGCUUACCUCGUAAGUGCUAAAAGGAGUAGGUGUUACUCCUGACAUUCCUUCCUUAACUCAUGGCCCUCAGUUAUAAUACUUACAUGGUUCUUGGCAUGAGCCCUCUUCCCUCCCUCUGCCCAGUCCAGGAAGAGGCUCAACCCCCGAUGUUCCUCAUCACCCCAUCUGGACCAGUGUGACUGCACCAGCCUGUACCAUUCUCUGUCCAUCCUGGUCCCUCACAUACUCAAGACACACAUGUAAUUUUACAUUUUCCAGUAGCCAUAUUAGAAAAGUAAAAAGAAACAGGUGAAUUUAAUACUGUACUUUAGUCCAAUAUAGCCAUUUAUCAUUUCAACAUGUAAUUAAUAUUAAAAAUUCUUACAUUUUACAUUCUGUUUUUGUACUCUUUCCAAUCCAUCAUGAUUUUACCCUAGCAGCACACCUCAAUUUGGACUAGCCACAUUUCAAGUGCUUGACAGUCACAGGUGACUAAUGGCUCUCCUAUGGGUUAUAGCCCAGCUCUUGACUCUUUGAUCCACAAGGAUAAGAACCACAUCCACUUCCACAUCUCCAGGUAUGAGGCAGAUAAAUAGCAGAGAGUGAUUACACGUAACUCUUCUCACCACGGAUUCCGGCAUUUGUGGGCAGCUGCAGAAGAGUAGGUGGGAGGAUCUCCCAGAUUAUGAGGCCAGUUUUUCUGUGGCUCAGAGAGUGCCAGUGACUCGCUCAAGAUAAAACAGCUUGUUAGUGGCAGGGAUGGAGCCCAGAAAUCCUGUUUCCUGUCCUCAGGAGUGUGUGUUCGAAAGAAGUUCUUGGCAAAGGUGAGAAUAAAUCAUAGGCUCUUUGAAGAGGACUCCAGUGUAUUAAACAAAUAGGUUGCUGAGAUGCAGUUAACUACUCAGUAAUGUAGUUGAAGAAAAUUAAUUUUUCAUUCUGCCACUCAGAAUAUCGAGGCUGGCCAUCUGUAAACACAGCCUGUCUCUAGGAGAACAGAGGUGGAAUCCUCCUUGCAAGUUUAAAAAAAUAACAGAGUAAUCUCAGUGGAUGUCUUAAGAGAAACAUAAUUAUAAUUUAGUUGACAUAUCUCAUAUCUCAGUGAUGGUAAAUAAACCUUCCCUAAAUAAUUCAAU